UACGUAGGGGGCAAGCGUUGCCCGGAAUCAUUGGGCGUAAAGCGCGUGUAGGCGGCCCGAUAAGUCCGCUGUGAAAGUCCAGGGCUCAACCCUGGGAUGCCGGUGGAUACUGUCGGGCUCGAGUCCGGAAGAGGCGAGUGGAAUUCCUGGUGUAGCGGUGAAAUGCGCAGAUAUCAGGAGGAACACCAAUGGCGAAGGCAGCUCGCUGGGACGUGACUGACGCUGAGACGCGAAAGCGUGGGGAGCAAACAGG
rnacentral:rRNA from 1 species